rnacentral:rRNA from 1 species
UACGUAGGGGGCAAGCGUUGUCCGGAAUCAUUGGGCGUAAAGCGCGCGUAGGCGGUCCGGUAAGUCGGUUGUGAAAGUCAAGGGCUCAACCCUUGAAUGCCGACCGAUACUGUCGGGCUAGAGUCCGGAAGAGGCGAGUGGAAUUCCUGGUGUAGCGGUGAAAUGCGCAGAUAUCAGGAGGAACACCAAUGGCGAAGGCAGCUCGCUGGGACGGUACUGACGCUGAGACGCGAAAGCGUGGGGAGCAAACAGG